UGCCAAUGAGACAUCCUUAACGAUAUCUUGUUCGUCAAAUCGAACUCGGAAACCUGCCGUGACAAUAGCAAUGUCAUCGUCCUUUCGUUUGGCCUGUUUGUAUGAUUUUGUGACCUCGCGUGCAUCUGCCGGGGGGAUAGGAAUGCGAAUCUGAGUAAUGAUGCCUCCCUGCGGCAGCGCUGUUUUCCUGUACCCACGGAACAUCGUUACCAUUGGAAUCAAAUGCUCCUUCUCAGCAGUCCUAGAAACUACAGUCGCAUUAAUAGCCAAAAGAACCGGAUUCAUAUCUGAUAUGGGGGAUGCCGUGGCAAUAUUUCCAGCUAGGGAUGCCACAUUUCGAAUCUGGCGCCCGGCAAAAUAUCUGAGAACUUUAGCCAUCGCCCCGAACACUGAUCCUCUUCGACCCAGCUUUGACGAUAGGCCAUAGCAAACAUGUUCAAUAUCUGUCAAAGGUGCAUUUCCACCAAUCACAAGUUCACUCGAGGUAGACAGAUCAGCGGGUACUGAAAUUUUGUUAAGUUCUUCGAUGUCCGAAACAAAGACUGAAACUGCAAAUUCCGAGCCUUUAAAUCGGAUCUCAACCUGGAUUUCGCUUGCGCCGCUGACAAUAGUCGCGGAUGGGAACGCAGCCAUGAUGUCGACUAAUUGCUGUAAAUUCGUCGGUCGGAGCCAUAUUUUCUCUUUAUCACCGUAGCAUACAGGAUUAUCGACAAACUUCGACAGCGAAGGUGGGUAAAUUAACUCUGAUGAAGGGGAAUACUCUGCAAGCUCAACUUGGGGAACUUUUUUGGACGGCUGAAGCGUGAUUUCUUCUGAAAGGCUGGUCUGGGAACUAUGUUCGUCCGCAGAAGUGGAUCCCGUUGAUGUCGAAGAAUCCGAUGGACGGGAUUCGUUGUUGAUCUUAUCGCGGCAACAUCCCCCGGAUCUGCCGCAUGAGCCAGUUGAGGAUUUGUGCACGUUGGUAAACUGCC
rnacentral:sRNA from 2 species